GGAAAAAACCACAGCUGAUAGAUCCAUUGUACGUGGGGUUGCGACCUGUUUCCUAACAGCCAGUCCAUGAGCUGCCAAGCUGACCUAUUAGCCAUUUCCCUGUAGUUAUAAAAUGUUGAAGGUCAUUUGCGGACUUAGGGCCGCGAUAAGACACUGCCACCAUGUCUCAUCUCUUGAUGUGUAAGGUGGCUCCACCGAUCAUGCCCUUGUCACCUGGCGAUGUG